GGAGGUGUAAAGCUGUGAAGGUGCUUUGACUUCCCUACGAACUCCAGGUGAAGCUCUGAGACGGUAUGGAAAUCUGUCUCGCCCAUAUGGAGGUAAAUCAUCGGUGACCUCUGUGAUCACGGGUUGCCUGAAAACAUCACUGUGGUGUUUGCAGGCGUUUUUUAGAGAUGAUGGAAGGAGAAAUAACCUACUUUGUUGCUUUUGACUUCAGGAUGAGGAAACUCUGUAUAUGCAUAUACAUGUGGCAGGAGAUGAAGGCGAGUACCUAUGUACAUAACUGUAAUAUAUGAAACACGGUAAAUACACAAUUUUGCAGUUGUGCGAGUUGUUUGCUAAACUGAGCACAACCGUUUGUUGUCGAACUCACAGCAGUUCAUUAUUAUUGCAAGUGGGGAAAUAACUUUUUUUCUUUUAAAGUAUGUGAAGUUAAAUAUUUAAAUGUGUACUGUACACUAGCAGGUAUCAAAUUUCAUGAAAAUGUUAAAUAAAAUUCCU
rnacentral:lncRNA from 1 species